rnacentral:rRNA from 1 species
AGAGCGAACGCUGGCGGCAGGCCUAACACAUGCAAGUCGAACGGACCCUUCGGGGUUAGUGGCGGACGGGUGAGUAACACGUGGGAACGUGCCUUUAGGUUCGGAAUAGCUCCUGGAAACGGGUGGUAAUGCCGAAUGUGCCCUUCGGGGGAAAGAUUUAUCGCCUUUAGAGCGGCCCGCGUCUGAUUAGCUUGUUGGUGGGGUAAUGGCUCACCAAGGCUACGAUCAGUAGCUGGUCUGAGAGGAUGACCAGCCACAUUGGGACUGAGACACGGCCCAAACUCCUACGGGAGGCGGCAGUGGGGAAUAUUGGACAAUGGGCGCAAGCCUGAUCCAGCCAUGCCGCGUGUGUGAAGAAGGCCUUCGGGUUGUAAAGCACUUUGUACGGAAGAAAAGACAAUCGGUUAAUACCGGUUGUCAUGACGGUACCGUAAGAAUAAGACACCGGCUAACUUCGUGCCAGCAGCCGC